AUUCAAACCUACUCGACUGGUCUAUCAUAAAUUCACAAUAUAUAACACUGCAGGGAACACAAAGAGGGUCAUUAUAUUUUGGAAAAAUGCACAGAACUAAACUAGUGCACUACAGAGACGGCCUCAGGAGAUGUAGGGACACCCAAGCAGCUAUUCAAAGCCGAAGGUUAAUCUGGCAUAAAUUGUAUUUAUUAACCGUUGGAUUUCUGUGCUUUUCCUCCAGCUCCCUCCGGUUCAGCAGGCUAAACCACUCAUCACCCCACGCUGGAUCAUACCCACCGCUACUCCUUCAUGCGCCUUCACCAAUGGCCUGCUUGACCUCGACCUGACCGCCAGGCUCACACCACCCCCAGAGAAGGGGCGUACCCCCUCCCCAGCCAUCCCGCUCCUCACCCAAACUCACAACAUCAUCACCUCCAGCAUUGUGGGAGCUCAGCCUGCCCAGGAGGAGGGAGCCAGGCCCAAGGGACUGCUGACCACCGAACUCUGAGGGGAGAUGGACCCCCCCCCCCCCUCCCCUCACUGCCCCACGUCUCCCCUCCCUACCUCCCUCCAUCACACCCUAUUCUCCCUCCACAAGAUCAGCUCCACCUCCACUCACCCACUCUGCCCACCAGCUCCAACCACAGAGCGAGACACUACCAAACCUCAGCCCCAACACACUACCAAACCCCACUGUAGGCAGACUAUAUAACUAACAGUAGUUUACCCCACAUGUUUUUGAGGAACCACCAGGACCAUUCUUCCUUAGAGCUAGAGAUGAUCUGAGAUGAUGGAUGUUUUAUGUUGGAGGUGAGGAGAAUUGUAACUUCACUGUAUUUCACCGGGUAUUACUGAACCCAGCACACUUUUAUAGUUCCUCGGGAUGCAGAAACUGUCCGGCAUCGUCUCAUACAUUCCCUGUAAUGAAGGCUUUCAUUUUGACAGCACGGACUAUUAAUACACGCCUAGAAGAUGCAGCACAGCCACUGGAUAUGAGAUACAAUGUCAAUUUUUUCACUGGAUUAUUACUCAACACUGGACCUGAACUCUCCCCCUGGAAACCCUGGAAAUGGAUUUGUUCAAUGAAUCGAUGAGAGAUCUCCAUGUUUUUAUUUCUACUGACGUUUUAAAAAAUGAUCCUAGACCCUUUUUCAUUCCCUUUCAGUUUUUUUUUUAUUCUGAUGAAGGAUAUUUUAGGCAAAACUAUUUUUUGCAAGUCUUCAAGAAGUACAGAGCUCCGGCACUGAGUGUUAUGUGCGUGUUAAGUGUUCGUCUGUUGGUGUUUGUUCCUGCAUGUCUUUGACUGUUACCAAUGUUGAGAAGAAAUAACGAUCUCCCGGCUUUGUUUCCAUAAUCACGGUUUUCUUUAAUUUACUGCAUUGCAAAGUCUUAAAGAAGAAUUAAGAACUUUUGUCGGUUCGUGGUCAUUCCUUGUUUGACUAGUCUACCGUUCUUCUUACUGAAGAACACUUACUUGUAAGACAUGACACCGCUGACGUUACGAUAUUCUGUUUGGAAUCAUUUGAGGUCAAAUCUGUUUUGGUCGUAUUUCCUAAAUGCUGUAUUUCCCAACUGCCUUGGCGAGUGAUUGCCUUUCGAGGUAUCAUCAUAAACAGCUGUGAGAACAUUUCAACAGGUCUUCAGAACAGGAUUUUCCAACAGGAAGGAAUUGGGGAAAUUAUGCCUUGGCUGACCAUUUUAUUUUCCCUGAUUUUGAGAGGUCUGUCCCACAUGAAACUAUUUGCAUUGCUAAGAAAUUUUGUAUUUGAUCUUUCUGUAACCAUUUGAUGCAGUUAUACACUUUAUGGACUAUCUGUUGUGAUAUCUUCAACAUGUAUGGUAAAAUCAUUGAGACUCAUUUUCUCAAUUUAUCCCAAUACUCUGAGCAGCAGGGGAAGACGCAGUCAGUCAAGUAUUGUAGGAACACUUGUGUUUUUCUCCAUACCGUGGCAUCAGUGUACUGUAGAUAUGAAGUAGAUUUAUAUAUAUUUUUAUGAAGAACGGUAACUGUAGCAGUAUUGGUAUGGCCACACCCUGAGACUUCAGCGUUGGUUGUUUGCUCCUGUCCUCGAAAGAACUCGAGAGAUAUUUGAUUUUGUUUCUUGUUUCAUUGCUUUUGAGUUUUUUGUCAUUUUCUGUGAUGAUUGGAAUAUCUCUGAGCUGCGUCACUUUGAAAUUCCAGCACUCUGUAUGUUGGUCAGUGAUAUUUUUUUUGAUCUCAUCGUAUGUUGGGAUUAUUGUACCUGAUGAUUUUUUGUCAUGCUGGAUUUACACAACGUUAAGAGAGAUUUCUAACACACUGUGUACCAGAUAGCAUAGUUAAAUAGCAAAUAAAAAAGAAAAUCGAUUUUUGUGUUUUCGAGGUGCAAAAGGUAAAAUGAACAACAUUAAUUGUAUCUUUAUCUACUCCAACCUUGUAGCCAUAGCCACUGAACAGUUUCAAAUAUUCACAAUUUCAAUCCUUAUUCACUUGAGCAUACACAGUGUCGUAACUAUCGGUAAGCAGGGUAUGCGGGUGCGUACGGGCCCGGGCCAAUCAGGGCCCCAAAAAAAAAAAAAAAACAUCAACAAUCGUAACGGGGGGGG
ensembl:lncRNA